UAAACGACUCUCGGCAACGGAUAUCUCGGCUCUCGCAUCGAUGAAGAACGUAGCGAAAUGCGAUACUUGGUGUGAAUUGCAGAAUCCCGUGAACCAUCGAGUCUUUGAACGCAAGUUGCGCCCGAAGCCUUCUAGCUAAGGGCACGUCUGCCUGGGCGUCACGC
rnacentral:rRNA from 2 species